GUUGGUUCUCGGCCUUCUGGCUAAGAACAAGUGUUAUAUCUGUUCUUAUCAGUUUAAUAUCUGAUAUGUUCUCUAUUUGAGAACUUCAUAGUAAAUGGACUUUUGGACCUGGGUGAAUUUGAAAAAAAAACCUCGUGAUAGCACAGGGUGAGAGAGACUCAAA
rnacentral:snRNA from 1 species